rnacentral:misc_RNA from 1 species
UUGAAUAAACUUGAACAGGCUGUUUUGCUGGCCCCUCGGUGGGGUAAGUGCACGCUUGUCAUCUUUGUUUCUCCCAACUGUGCACAUAUUGUAGACCCUGGAUUGAGGAUUGCUGUGUCCUAUGUAUUCUAUCACCUCACACUUUGCUCUUGAAUGCACCUUAUGGAUUAUUUGUAAAAGUAAUCACAGAAA